rnacentral:rRNA from 1 species
UACGUAGGGUGCAAGCGUUACUCGGAAUUACUGGGCGUAAAGCGUGCGCAGGCGGUGAUGUAAGACAGUUGUGAAAUCCCCGGGCUCAACCUGGGAACUGCCUUUGUGACUGCAUGACUAGAGUACGGUAGAGGGGGAUGGAAUUCCGCGUGUAGCAGUGAAAUGCGUAGAUAUGCGGAGGAACACCGAUGGCGAAGGCAAUCCCCUGGACCUGUACUGACGCUCAUGCACGAAAGCGUGGGGAGCAAACAGG